UACGGGGGGAGCAAGCGUUGUUCGGAUUUACUGGGCGUAAAGGGCGCGUAGGCGGCCACCGCAAGUCGGUUGUGAAAUCUCUGGGCUUAACCCAGAAAGGUCAACCGAUACUGCGGGGCUAGAGUGCAGAAGGGGCAACUGGAAUUCUCGGUGUAGCGGUGAAAUGCGUAGAUAUCGAGAGGAACACCUGCGGCGAAGGCGGGUUGCUGGGCUGACACUGACGCUGAUGUGCGAAAGCGUGGGGAGCAAACAGG
rnacentral:rRNA from 1 species